rnacentral:tRNA from 2 species
GCGCGCUUAGCUCAGUGGUAGAGCACUUCCUUCACACGGAAGGGGCCGCAGGUUCGAACCCUGCAGCGCGCACCA